rnacentral:rRNA from 2 species
GCUGACGAGUGGCGGACGGGUGAGUAAUGUCUGGGAAACUGCCUGAUGGAGGGGGAUAACUACUGGAAACGGUGGCUAAUACCGCAUAACGUCGCAAGACCAAAGAGGGGGACCUUCGGGCCUCUUGCCAUCAGAUGUGCCCAGAUGGGAUUAGCUUGUUGGUGAGGUAACGGCUCACCAAGGCGACGAUCCCUAGCUGGUCUGAGAGGAUGACCAGCCACACUGGAACUGAGACACGGUCCAGACUCCUACGGGAGGCAGCAGUGGGGAAUAUUGCACAAUGGGCGCAAGCCUGAUGCAGCCAUGCCGCGUGUAUGAAGAAGGCCUUCGGGUUGUAAAGUACUUUCAGCGGGGAGGAAGGUGUUGUGGUUAAUAACCGCAGCAAUUGACGUUACCCGCAGAAGAAGCACCGGCUAACUCCGUGCCAGCAGCCGCGGUAAUACGGAGGGUGCAAGCGUUAAUCGGAAUUACUGGGCGUAAAGCGCACGCAGGCGGUCUGUCAAGUCGGAUGUGAAAUCCCCGGGCUCAACCUGGGAACUGCAUUCGAAACUGGCAGGCUUGAGUCUUGUAGAGGGGGGUAGAAUUCCAGGUGUAGCGGUGAAAUGCGUAGAGAUCUGGAGGAAUACCGGUGGCGAAGGCGGCCCCCUGGACAAAGACUGACGCUCAGGUGCGAAAGCGUGGGGAGCAAACAGGAUUAGAUACCCUGGUAGUCCACGCCGUAAACGAUGUCUACUUGGAGGUUGUGCCCUUGAGGCGUGGCUUCCGGAGCUAACGCGUUAAGUAGACCGCCUGGGGAGUACGGCCGCAAGGUUAAAACUCAAAUGAAUUGACGGGGGCCCGCACAAGCGGUGGAGCAUGUGGUUUAAUUCGAUGCAACGCGAAGAACCUUACCUGGUCUUGACAUCCACGGAAGUUUUCAGAGAUGAGAAUGUGCCUUCGGGAACCGUGAGACAGGUGCUGCAUGGCUGUCGUCAGCUCGUGUUGUGAAAUGUUGGGUUAAGUCCCGCAACGAGCGCAACCCUUAUCCUUUGUUGCCAGCGGUCCGGCCGGGAACUCAAAGGAGACUGCCAGUGAUAAACUGGAGGAAGGUGGGGAUGACGUCAAGUCAUCAUGGCCCUUACGACCAGGGCUACACACGUGCUACAAUGGCGCAUACAAAGAGAAGCGACCUCGCGAGAGCAAGCGGACCUCAUAAAGUGCGUCGUAGUCCGGAUUGGAGUCUGCAACUCGACUCCAUGAAGUCGGAAUCGCUAGUAAUCGUGGAUCAGAAUGCCACGGUGAAUACGUUCCCGGGCCUUGUACACACCGCCCGUCACACCAUGGGAGUGGGUUGCAAAAGAAGUAGGUAGCUUAACCUUCGGGAGGGCGCUUACCACUUUGUGAUUCAUGACUGGGGUGAAGUCGUAACAAGGUAACCGUAGGGGAACCUGCGGUUGGAUCACCUCCUUACCUUAAAGAA